AUUGCCCUAGUAACGGCGAGUGAAGCGGCAACAGCUCAAAUUUGAAAUCUGGCUCUUUCAGAGUCCGAGUUGUAAUUUGCAGAGGGCGCUUUGGCUUUGGCAGCGGUCCAAGUUCCUUGGAACAGGACGUCACAGAGGGUGAGAAUCCCGUACGUGGUCGCUAGCUAUUGCCGUGUAAAGCCCCUUCGACGAGUCGAGUUGUUUGGGAAUGCAGCUCUAAAUGGGAGGUAAAUUUCUUCUAAAGCUAAAUACUGGCCAGAGACCGAUAGCGCACAAGUAGAGUGAUCGAAAGAUGAAAAGCACUUUGGAAAGAGAGUCAAACAGCACGUGAAAUUGUUGAAAGGGAAGCGCUUGCAGCCAGACUUGCUUGCAGUUGCUCAUCCGGGCUUUUGCCCGGUGCACUCUUCUGUAGGCAGGCCAGCAUCAGUUUGGGCGGUGGGAUAAAGGUCUCUGUCACGUACCUCUCUUCGGGGAGGCCUUAUAGGGGAGACGACAUACCACCAGCCUAGACUGAGGUCCGCGCAUCUGCUAGGAUGCUGGCGUAAUGGCUGUAAGCGGCCCGUCUUGAAACACGGACCAAGGAGUCUAACAUCUAUGCGAGUGUUUGGGUGUCAAGCCCGAGCGCGUAAUGAAAGUGAACGGAGGUGGGAACCCGCAAGGGUGCACCAUCGACCGAUCCUGAAGUUUACGGAAGGAUUUGAGUAAGAGCAUGGCUGUUGGGACCCGAAAGAUGGUGAACUAUGCUUGAAUAGGGUGAAGCCAGAGGAAACUCUGGUGGAGGCUCGCAGCGGUUCUGACGUGCAAAUCGAUCGUCAAAUUUGGGCAUAGGGGCGAAAGACUAAUCGAACUAUCUAGUAGCUGGUUCCUGCCGA
rnacentral:rRNA from 1 species